rnacentral:RNase_P_RNA from 1 species
ACAGAUCAUCGGAUAGUCGCCCAGCCCCACUUUUUCUCUUUGAAACUGUAAUGGUAUUUGAAGGAAAAAAGUGGGGCUGGGAGGAAAGUCCGAACACCAGUCCCGCCGAAGGGCGGGAUUACAGAGAGUCGCUAACGGCGACCAGGAGUAAGCGCUGUCAUGAAGUCGUUAUAACCUUCAGGCCAGUGACCAAGCCUAGGGACCCCACACACCAAAAUUUGGUGUGGGGGCGAAGAGUGCAACAGAAACAUACCGCCACCAUGCCGUUCAAUUGGCCGGCGCGGGGGUAAGGGUGAAAUCGUGAGGUAAGAGCUCACGGCGGCCCGGCGUGAGCCGGGCGGCGGGUAAACCCUCUCUGGUGCAAGAUCGCAUAGGCCCCCACACCAAAUUUUGGUGUGCGGGGCGGGUAGAUCGCUGGAGCUAGACAGCAAUGUCUGGCCAAGAGAGAUGACUAUCCCCCCACACCAUUUGGAAAGAACGAUACGCAUUUUCAUGAGCGGGACUGAAUCAACAAUCUCGCUUCCGGAAAAACAUCGUUGUGCCCAAAUGGUGUGGGGGACAGAAUUCGGCUUAUAGAUGGUCUGUUGGG